GACGAACGCUGGCGGCGUGCCUAAUACAUGCAAGUUGAGCGCUGAAGGUUGGUACUUGUACCAACUGGAUGAGCAGCGAACGGGUGAGUAACGCGUGGGGAAUCUGCCUUUGAGCGGGGGACAACAUUUGGAAACGAAUGCUAAUACCGCAUAAAAACUUUAAACACAAGUUUUAAGUUUGAAAGAUGCAAUUGCAUCACUCAAAGAUGAUCCCGCGUUGUAUUAGCUAGUUGGUGAGGUAAAGGCUCAACAAGGCGAUGAUACAUAGCCGACCUGAGAGGGUGAUCGGCCACAUUGGGACUGGGACACGGCCCAAACUCCUACGGGAGGCAGCAGGAGGGAAACUUCGGCAAUGGACGAAAGUCUGACCGAGCAACGCCGCGUGAGGGAAGAAGGGUUUCGGGUCGUAAAAGUCGGUUGGUAGAGAAGAACGUUGGUGAGAGUGGAAAGCUCAUCAAGUGACGGUAACUACACAGAAAGGGACGGCUAACUACGUG
rnacentral:rRNA from 1 species